ACCCAGGAAGCUGGAGGCGCGCUGGGGCAGCCGCCGCUCCCGCGCUCCUCCCUCUCCUCUGCACCCGCUGUGGCGUUGCGCCUCCGCGGGAGAGCCUCGCGAGCAGCCAGGUGAAUUGAAAGUCGUUUCCGGCGGAGGACAGAGAGGCUACUGCAGUCCUGGCAGGCACUGAAACUGCAACUCGGACAGAACCGACUCGGCGGAGGAGCGGAGUGCGCGGCGAAGUGCGCAGCGUACCCGGGCGGUUGGGGGCAGCCACCGCUCAAGNNNNNNNNNNNNNNNNNNNNNNNNNNNNNNNNNNNNNNNNNNNNNNNNNNNNNNNNNNNNNNNNNNNNNNNNNNNNNNNNNNNNNNNNNNNNNNNNNNNNNNNNNNNNNNNNNNNNNNNNNNNNNNNNNNNNNNNNNNNNNNNNNNNNNNNNNNNNNNNNNNNAGAGCGUGGAGAGGCGAGGGGGCGGCAGCCUCAGCCCGAAGCUGGGAGCUAACCCACCGCGUCUAUCAAGUAUCACUGCAAUGGCACUCGCAUUUAUUGAAUGCUUUCUGAGAUCAAACACCAUGUAAAGUUCUUUAGCUGGAUACUUUGAGCAAUUCCCACAACGCACCUUGGAUGACAGGUGGGAGAUAUGCAAUUUCCUAGAACUCUAUGUGAACAGAAGAGGCUCUUUGCCAAGGGAUGGGCAGAGUUUCAAGGAACACAGCAAAGGACAGUGCAGUCUUCCCAGGCUAGCGACUUCAGGGGUGUCAUCACCCCUCUACUUGUUCCUGAAAUCAGGCGUGGCUGCUCACCACUUGAAAGCCAAUACUUGAGAGGCAAGUGUUCAUAGAAAAGAAAGGUUGCUGGGAGUUCCCGUCAUGGCUCAGUGGUGACGAACCUGACUAUAUCCAUGAGGACUUGGAUUUGAUCCCUGGCCUCAAUCAAUGGGUCAAGGAUCCUUCAUUGCCAUGAGCUGUGGUGUAGGUCACAGACGUGGCUCAGACAGCUGUAGCUCCAAUUUGACCCCUAGCCUGGGAACUUCUAUAUGUCACAGUUUGGCCAUAAAAAGCAAUGACAACAACAACAACAACAACAACAAAACAGUUGUUUUAUUCAGGAGGCCAGCAGCCUGGGGAGAAGGUGGACUUGUGUCUAAAAGCCAACUCCCCACUGUCAAUCACUGGGCAGGAGGUUUUAAAGGGGAAUUUUGGGGCUGUAUAGAAGGAGGGAGCUUCAUGCAACCUAACAUAGUCAUGUCUGAUAAUCAUCUUGAAAUUAGUCAUGUGGUGGUUGGAUCAGUGUCAUCUUGAUUGUUUUAAGUACAGUUAACUUUCAGUUCCAGGGUUGGUUUGUUCCCAUUUCUUUGAGGCCAGUUCUUGGAAUUGUGGUAGCUUAUGUCAUAGCUAUAGUUUGAUCAUCAUGCAAUUAACUUCUUCCACCUGGUGUUUAAGUAUCUAUAAGACAGCUCACAGGAUAUGACUCAAAAUAUCUGUAGUGCUUGAGGAGUGAAGGUCCUUGACUUUGUUUAAUAACUAACCUAUUACUAUUUUCUUUUGCUUGACUAUUUCUCUGUUUCUAUUUUGUUUUUCAUGUCUCUGAUUAAACUUAUUCUUUGAUUAAAUUUUUUCUACAGACAAGAGGCAGGCAAUGGUUAUGGGGGUGGGGGGUUCUGAACAGAGAAGGUCCCAUAGGGUCCAGCUUCCUUUCACACGUGAAAAGGCAAGAGGAUGGUCCUGGACUCCAGACAGAGAGCUGGAUGGAGAAGACCAACUGGCAAAAGCUGUUGCUGCUGGUAGAAAGCCAGUCCAGCAGGCCAGCAGGGAGGAGCAGGAGAGCAGCCUUGCCUUUCCCUUCUCCUACCUUCAUCUCCUACCACACCUCCCCCCUGAUGGUUGAAGAUAACCAGAAGCCAGGUUGCAAGGGAGCCCUUAGCUGUACUAAUGUCAGUCUCCUGGGCACCGAUAAAGUGCAGAAGGAUGAGAAUGUGACUGAGGGUGGGGCAGCAGAUGAUAUUCAUCACAGCUUGUGAGAAAGACCAAGAGCAUAGUGAUGGAAAAAGUUAUCACACAUCGAGGUUUGGGGAAGUCAUUCCAGCUUAGGCGUGAUUUGGCCUGAACUUCAUGCUAACUAGAAGAGCCUGUCUUAGGGCCUGUCAAACAUGGAUUGUACAUCUGUUUUAACCGUUAAAGAAAAGGAUGCCUUUGGAAAUCAUAGAGUCCCUGUGGUUCAGACAUUCACCUGGAGCUAAUGGCCAUUGUGGAUGUGGUUUUAGACAAGUUCCCACAUCACUGAGAACUUGAAUUUUCUGAACUAUAUCAAAAAUGGCACCAUUCUCAAAACAGUAUCUGCUAGCAGCUGCCAGCUGCAUACAACCUUAUGGUCUUAAGUUCUCCCUUUGUAACUCUGCAGACAUUUUGGGCCCCAACCAGUCCUUGCUUAAUAAGCACCCUUUUUCCUUGCCACCUCCAGUCCUGAUUCUUGAAAAACAAAACAACUUGUGUAAGUUUGCAGGUUUUACUUUUAUAAGUUUCUCCUAUUUUGUAGUCCAGCAGAACAUAAUUCAAGUGCUUCUUGAAUCUGUGUCUCCCAGGCUGUAGUCUUCAGAUUGGAUCAAGUAAAACUUUCUUCUAUUUUUUUUAAAACAAACCAGAGACUUUAUUCAAAUUUUAUAAAUUUUUUUUCACUUAUAUCCUUUUUCUGUUCCAAGAUCCAAUCCAGGAUACCAUAUAACUUUUUCUAUUCUAAUAAUCUAUUAUAGAUUGUUUGUUUUUUGUGUCAACAGUAGCCUGUAUAGUUCAAAACUGUUUUGAUGACCCAAUGUAGUUCUCACAUGUUCCAUUGUUCCAUACAGUAUUCAUUCAUUCAAUAGCUAAUAGUUGAUGGUCUCAUGUGUGCAAAUUGUAUAAGUUGAGCCAGAUUCUUCUAGUCUCUACAGUGCAGCUUUAGAGCAACUUGGAGAUGUUAACUCUUCAAAGGCACUUGAGCAAUAUAAUACAUCAUCAACUCCAGGGGCCUAACCCACAACUAUGAAGAAAUUAUACAUGAAGAGUGUGGGAUAACUAUGAAAAUUUUCACACAUAGCAUUUCCUCCGAGUCUAUUGAAUCCUGUCCUCAUAGAUAAUUUUAUCAUUUUUAGAUAGUAAUAUUUAAUAUCAUUUUUACUUCAUAUUGUUCAUAUAACAUUUGUUUUUACACUAAAAAGUAUGAAUUCUGAAGUCAUUAGGUGUUACCUUUCUUCGAAGUAGCCAGAUGGAUGGUAUCAACCAUUACUGUCCGGUUGUCAGAAUAUGAAGGAACUGGUUGCACAAUGAAAUUAAUCACUGUGAUAAUGAUGAAGCAAAAAUAAAUAAAUGAACACAUUUGCUUCAAAAAAUUAGCAAAUAUUAAGCAAAAUGAGGGCCAUUUAUAAGCAAUGCCCUUGUUUUCUUGGUUGUUACUUUGACAGGCAAAUUGAAUAUCCUAAGAAACCGUUAUGAACAAUUAGUUAGUCGAUUAGGUAGAACUACAGGCGGCUUAUAAUGUGAGUGAUGUAGAGAUGUUGUAUUAGCAUUUCAAUGCUGCUUAUGAUGGCUGUUAUUUUGCCCAUUUCACUUCCUGUUUAAUAAAAUCAGCAUAUUCUUUGCUGAACAUUGUGGAGCUAGGGCCCGUUUGCAUGUAUUCUGUGUUUACAUCUUCUCUGCAAGCUGUUUAAUGACACUCUGAAGGGAGAGCUGAUGAGAUAAGUUGAUAGGAUUUCAGACUAAAGGAUAUUAUUUGAAAAGCCUCAAAGGGCAACACUCUUCACACGAAAGCUAAAUUGGUUUCUGAGAUGAACAUUCUGCUUUGAGCUGGGGUUCUGAGGACCCAGGACCUGCUCUCUGCUAGGCUACCAACCCUUGUGCCUAGAGCAAGGCUCUUGCCUUUCUGAAUCUUCAUCUCUUCAGUUGUAGAAUCAUUGCAUUAAGUUUUAAUGGUCACCAAGUUGCUUUUCAGCUCUGCCUUCCCUAAUUUUCUGCUAAGCAAGUUAUAAAGUGCUCUUAGAGUAUAUUUUUUAAGUUCUCUAGAUAAAACCUAUUCAAAACAUAUGCAUUCACUUCUCCGGCCUCCAAAGAUAAAGUCUACCAUGACUAUUGACCAGAGUGUGGAAUCAAUGUCUCUAAAAAUCCAUCAGCUAUUCAUAUUUUCCUCUGCUACACUGGUGGCAUGAGUAAAGUCUGUGGCCUAUAAGGAAAUGAGUGAAAACGCAGAGAAAGUGAUGGUACCUCCUGUGUGUUGAAUUCUUGGUCUGUUUCAAAGCUGCCAAAUCCAAAAAAAAGAUGAAUAAGAGGCAGUUAAAGACCAUAGGUUGAUUGUUAAUUAUUAAACUGACUUCAAGUCAAUAUAAAUGGACAUGAUUAUCCAAAUCUCAGACUCUGUCAACCCCAGACUAGUGAGAGUAAAACAUCUGAACAUUCACAAUAGUUGCCAGAAAACAUCUGCAUUAAAGCAAUGUAUACAUGUAAGGAUAACCUGAUCCCCUUGCUGUACAGUGGGAAAAAAAAAAAAAAAUCUCCUAAAAAAAAAAAAA
ensembl:lncRNA